GUGCCAGCAGCCGCGGUAACACGUAGGGACCAAGCGUUGUCCGGAUUUAUUGGGCGUAAAGAGCUCGUAGGCGGUCGUGUAAGUCGGGUGUGAAAUCUCCAGGCUCAACUUGGAGGGGCCACCCGAUACUGCUCGACUCGAGUCCGGUAGGGGAGUGGGGAAUUCCUGGUGUAGCGGUGAAAUGCGCAGAUAUCAGGAGGAACACCGGUGGCGAAGGCGCCACUCUGGGCCGGUACUGACGCUGAGGAGCGAAAGCGUGGGUAGCAAACAGGAUUAGAUACCCCCGUAGUCC
rnacentral:rRNA from 1 species